ACAAUGCGCGGAAGCGCGAUGAGGGGAUUCCAAGUGCAUGCACUAUGUGUAUGCUGUUUACUAGUCUAAAAAGCUAGUAGAGUAAGGGCUGGGUAAGACUGGUGCCAGCCGCCGCGGUAAUACCAGCGGCCCUAGUGGUGAUCGUUAUUAUUGGGCCUAAAGCGUCCGUAGCCGGUCCGGUAAAUCUCUGGGUAAAUCGUUGGGCUUAACUCAACGAAUUCUGGGGAGACUGCCGGACUUGGGACCGGGAGAGGUCGGAGGUACUCCAGGGGUAGGGGUGAAAUCCUGUAAUCCUUGGGGGACCACCGGUGGCGAAGGCGUCCGACCAGAACGGGUCCGACGGUAAGGGACGAAGCCCUGGGGCGCGAACCGGAUUAGAUACCCGGGUAGUCCAGGGUGUAAACGCGCUCGGUGUUGGGGGUCCUUCGGGGGCACCCAGUGCCGGAGAGAAGUUGUUAAGCGCACCGCCUGGGGAGUACGGUCGCAAGACUGAAACUUAA
rnacentral:rRNA from 1 species